GUCUGAAGUACCUCAGCUGGCAGAGCAUUAGACUGAACAUCCAAAGGUCCCUGGUUCAACCCUGGGCUGAUACA